AUCAGAAUCAGGCUGCUCCAACACACUGACGAAAACAAAUCAACGGCAGGCAAUGGGAUCCAGAAUGGUUUUCUUAGGUGUUUGUAUUAAAAAGAACACCCUACAACUGAAGAUUUUAUGAUGUCAACUUAUGCAGAACAGGUCUAUCAAUAUUGCUAUUGUCCAAGAAACCAGGCUAUGAGGAGCAGCUUGACAACAAAAACGUUUAUCAAUUCAAGUGAAGCUGAGGAGUCUUCAAUAAAUGCUUCACCUCAAA